rnacentral:rRNA from 1 species
ACACUCCUACGGGAGGCAGCAGUGGGGAAUAUUGCACAAUGGGCGCAAGCCUGAUGCAGCCAUGCCGCGUGUAUGAAGAAGGCCUUCGGGUUGUAAAGUACUUUCAGCGGGGAGGAAGGCAAUACGGUUAAUAACCGUGUUGAUUGACGUUACCCGCAGAAGAAGCACCGGCUAACUCCGUGCCAGCAGCCGCGGUAAUACGGAGGGUGCAAGCGUUAAUCGGAAUUACUGGGCGUAAAGCGCACGCAGGCGGUCUGUCAAGUCGGAUGUGAAAUCCCCGGGCUCAACCUGGGAACUGCAUUCGAAACUGGCAGGCUUGAGUCUUGUAGAGGGGGGUAGAAUUCCAGGUGUAGCGGUGAAAUGCGUAGAGAUCUGGAGGAAUACCGGUGGCGAAGGCGGCCCCCUGGACAAAGACUGACGCUCAGGUGCGAAAGCGUGGGGAGCAAACAGGAUUAGAAACCCUUGUAGUCC